UGGGGAAUUGUUCACAAUGGGCGCAAGCCUGAUGACGCAACGCCGCGUGAAGGAUGAAGUAUUUCGGUAUGUAAACUUCGAAAGAAUAGGAAGAAUAAAUGACGGUACUAUUUAUAAGGUCCGGCUAACUACGUGCCAGCAGCCGCGGUAAUACGUAGGGACCAAGCGUUGUUCGGAUUUACUGGGCGUAAAGGGCGCGUAGGCGGCAAUUCAAGUCAUCUGUGAAAUCUCCGGGCUUAACUCGGAACGGUCAGAUGAUACUGCUUUGCUAGAGUGCAGAAGGGGCAAUCGGAAUUCUUGGUGUAGCGGUGAAAUGCGUAGAUAUCAAGAGGAACACCUGAGGUGAAGACGGGUUGCUGGGCUGACACUGACGCUGAGGCGCGAAAGCCAGGGGAGCAAACGGGAUUAGAUACCCCUGUAGUCCCUGAGCGGGCUGGCAAGGCGCAU
rnacentral:rRNA from 1 species